UUUUGUCCAAGGGCCCAUAAUUUUCUUGAGCCGACCCUGGAUACAUAGGUUCGAUUCUACGCCAACGGACUACAUUAAAGUCCUUAGAGACCAUAGCCCGUGGGAGACAUGAUAAAAACAGUAAAAACAAACCGAAAAGGAUAGGUCAAGCAGGCUAAGAAUCAAAUCACACACGAGAUUACAUAAUUAGUGUUCAAAUGGGGCAUGAUUUAAAAAAAAAAUUAAAAAAAAACCCAAAAUUUUUAUGUUAUCCAUAAAGUAUAUGUAAAUUUUUUUUUUUGAAAAACUAUUUUGUCCAAGGGCCCAUAAUUUUCUUGAGCCGACCCUGGAUACAUAGGUUCGAUUCUACGCCAACGGACUACAUUAAAGUCCUUAGAGACCAUAUCCCGUGGGAGACAUGAUAAAAACAGUAAAAACAAACCGAAAAGGAUAGGUCAAGCAGGCUAAGAAUCAAAUCACACACGAGAUUACAAACCCGCAUCAAACCACGUACGCAUAAAAAUAACAUCGAACUUCUCACUGCUCCCUUGUCCUAGCAUGUCAUUAAGCCAGCAAAGCCAUGAGUGUCAUCCAAUCUAAUUCGCACCGAUUGCUUAAUGAACCCAAGACAUUAUUAAGUUCAUAGGAGAAAUAAAUCAGGAAUUACGAUGCCAAAAGAACUUAAGGAUCAACGAUCCCCAACAAAAGGGUAAGCGCACCAAAGCCCACUAACUCAAGACCCUUACUGAUUACUGCAAACCUGAGAUUAUUGAUACUGGAUCUGUAACCGAGAAAAAACAGGAGAAGCCUUUGGAACAUCUUUAAAAAGACGACUUUCUAUGGCAUCAUCUAGGAGGGAAGCAUGCCGAAACCAAACUGAAACAACUAGGGAAGAGAGGCGAAGCUUAAAUAACACAGUAACUCCAAACCAAACAAAG
rnacentral:lncRNA from 1 species